GGCCGCCUGGCGUAAUGGCAACGCGUCUGACUACGAUGACGUGAAACGCCUGUCGAUAAUCAGGAGAUUGCAGGUUCGACCCCUGCGGUGGUCA
rnacentral:tRNA from 1 species